rnacentral:rRNA from 1 species
UACGGGGGAGCAAGCGUUGUUCGGAUUUACUGGGCGUAAAGGGCGCGUAGGCGGUCAGCACAAGUCAGUUGUGAAAUCUCCGGGCUUAACUCGGAAAGGUCAACUGAUACUGUGCGACUAGAGUGCAGAAGGGCAACUGGAAUUCUCGGUGUAGCGGUGAAAUGCGUAGAUAUCGAGAGGAACACCUGCGGCGAAGGCGGGUGCUGGGCUGACACGUGAC